GUAAACGUUGGGCACUAGGUGUGGGGUCUGUUUCCAUGGAUUCUGCGCCGUAGCUAACGCAUUAAGUGCCCCGCCUGGGGAGUACGGCCGCAAGGCUAAAACUCAAAGGAAUUGACGGGGGCCCGCACAAGCGGCGGAGCAUGCGGAUUAAUUCGAUGCAACGCGAAGAACCUUACCAAGGCUUGACAUACACCGGGAUCAUGCAGAGAUGUGUGAGUCUUCGGACUGGUGUACAGGUGGUGCAUGGUUGUCGUCAGCUCGUGUCGUGAGAUGUUGGGUUAAGUCCCGCAACGAGCGCAACCCUUGUCUCGUGUUGCCAGCGCGUUAUGGCGGGGACUCACGAGAGACUGCCGGGGUUAACUCGGAGGAAGGUGGGGAUGACGUCAAAUCAUCAUGCCCCUUAUGUCUUGGGCUUCACGCAUGCUACAAUGGCAGGUACAGAGGGUUGCGAUACCGUGAGGUGGAGCGAAUCCCUUAAAGCUUGUCUCAGUUCGGAU
rnacentral:rRNA from 1 species